UAUUGGUCAAUUGGCGCAAGCCUGAACCGGCCAUCCCGCGUGAAGGAAGAAGGCGCUAUGCGUUGUAAACUUCUUUUCCAGGGGGAGAAUUUUUCCGUCGUGACGGGAAUUGACGGUACUCUGGGAAUAAGCAUCGGCUAACUCCGUGCCAGCAGCCGCGGUAAUCCGGAGGAUGCGAGCGUUAUCCGGAUUUAUUGGGUUUAAAGGGUGCGUAGGCGGAUAGAUAAGUCAGUGGUGAAAUUCUGCAGCUUAACUGUAGACUUGCCGUUGAUACUGUCAGUCUUGAGUAUGGUCAAGGCAGGCGGAAUGUGUAAUGUAGCGGUGAAAUGCUUAGAUAUUACACAGAACACCGAUUGCGAAGGCAGCUUGCUGGGCCAUUACUGACGCUGAUGCACGAAAGCGUGGGGAUCGAACAG
rnacentral:rRNA from 1 species